UACGUAGGGGCGAGCGUUAUCCGGAUUUACUGGGCGUAAAGCGCGUGUAGGUGGUUCUGUAAGUAGGGCGUGAAAGCUUCCGGCUCAACUGGGAGAGGCCGUUCUAAACUGCAGAGCUAGAGGAUGGUAGAGGGAGGUGGAAUUCCAGGUGUAGCGGUGGAAUGCGCAGAUAUCUGGAGGAACACCAGUGGCGAAGGCGGCCUCCUGGACCAUUCCUGACACUCAGACGCGAAAGCUAGGGUAGCAAACGGGAUUAGAUACCCGCGUAGUU
rnacentral:rRNA from 1 species